AGGUGGCGAUUAUGAACGUCAAACACAUGCGCAGUGGCCUGUUGUGUUUAGCCAAUCCCCAACGCUUCACGAAAGGAUGGCAGGGUACGGUUUAUUCUGCUCUACAAUGACAAUGAAAUGCCUUGUGACCAAUACACCCGUGUGGUUUUGUAUGAGUAACCUGUUGUAUAAUACUCCGACAUGUGAAUACGCAAAGAAAAUGGACCUGAGCCCUAGGACCAUGCCCCAGGACUACCUGACAUGAUGACUCCUUGCUGUCCCCAGUCCACCUGGCCAUGCUGCUGUUCCAGUUUCAACUGACCUGAGCCCUAGGACCAUGCCCCAGGACUACCUGACAUGAUGACUCCUUGCUGUCCCCAGUCCACCUGGCCAUGCUGCUGCUCCAGUUUCAACUUCCACCUGACUGUGCUGCUGCUCCAGUUUCAACUGUUCUGCCUUAUUAUUAUUCGACCAUGCUGGUCAUUUAUGAACAUUUGAACAUCUUGGCCAUGUUCUGUUAUAAUCUCCACCCGGCACAGCCAGAAGAGGACUGGCCACCCCACAUAGCCUGGUUCCUCUCUAGGUUUCUUCCUAGGUUUUGGCCUUUCUAGGGAGUUUUUCCUAGCCACCGUGCUUCUACACCUGCAUUGCUUGCUGUUUGGGGUUUUAGGCUGGGUUUCUGUACAGCACUUUGAGAUAUCAGCUGAUGUACGAAGGGCUAUAUAAACAAAUUUGAUUUGAUUUGAUUUGAACAGACGCUUUUUUACCGAGCUCCGUACCAAACUUCAGAAAGAUUGUGAAAUAUUUUUUUUUAAAGUUUAGUCAUUAUUAUUUUUAUUUGUUCAAGAUAUAAGACCUUUCCUGUGACUGGAAUGAUAAUUGGAUAAUUUAUUUCAGCAUGUCCAUGCAAAGUCGUGACAAAAAAAGAAAGGAAAAAGUUAGCCAUUCUAUUGCUAAUCAACAAGAGAGAAACGUGCUUAUAGACAACUGCCAUAACUACACUUGGCCUAUGGAUAAUAUCAUGCUUUCGAAUGCUGAAGAUGACGAAUUCCCCUCUUUACCAGUUACUCCGUGCAAACCUCCACCCUCCAAAAAACCCAACAUGAACUCUGACAUCGUGGCUACCCUCUCCUUACUCAUCAACUCCAGGUGUGACGCCAUUGAGAAAAUGGUAGGCGUGAACACCAUGGUUAUCGAAGGCUUGAAAAAGACUGUAGUUUGCAUGUGGUGAAAUUAAUGAUGUGAAAACGAGAGUGGCAAAAGUUGAAAAAAAUGUGGAAAGGGUGGAAAAGAAUAACAAUGUCUACCAUAGACGUCUCACUGAUCUGGAACAAUACACAAGAAAAUGGAACCUGAGACUCUACGGCUUGCCAGAGGUGGAGAAUGAAGAUGUGCGAGGAGAGGCUAUCCGUAUCUGCCAAGAAGUUUUGCCUGCAGAGAAGAACAAAGUUGGUGAUACCAUCGACGUUGUACAUCGCCUCGGCAAGAAGCAACAGCAAAGCAAUUCAAGACCCAGGGGUAUCAUCAUCCUAUUCACUACCAGAUUCUACAGGGAUGCUGUCUGGAAAGCUGCUAGGAAGAACACCUUCCUUCAGAGCCAUGGUAUGCGUUUCGCCGAGCAUCUCAGCCCGGAAGACAUAGAAAGAAGGAACAAGUUGUGGCCAACGAUCAAGAUAGCAUGAAGUGAGGGGAAGGCUGCUUACUUCGUCGCCGGAGGACGAGGUUUCAUCAACGGUUCAGAAAUCCAUAUUCCUCCCUAAAAUCUCACCAGAAGGAACAGGUUGAUGGUUUCAGCCAUGGUAUUCUCAUUUUCCUUAUGUGGUUUAUCUAACAAGCAUCAGGUGACUAUUUUACAGGAAUACUCAGGUAUUUCAAUUCAUUAGUUUGUUCUUGUAUGACCAGAAGUCCUAUUUUGUUUACAAACUUACGAAGAAGAUUGAAAGCUGAAUUUAUGUUUUAUGUAUAGAGUAACUAAGAUACUGUUUUAAAUGACAUACAGGUCUGCUCUGACUUUACACGGUUAUUGUUCUAUUUAGUUAUUAAUACUUAUUUCCAAAAAAGGUCUUAGGACCGUUUAUAUGUAAAACAUUUUGUUAUUCAAUUAUUUUAUGAUCAGUUUUCAUAUGUACUUAAAAUAGUAGGUACCCUUUUAUUUAAAUUAUUAUUUGUUGUUUUAUUUCUCAGAAUAGUUCCUGAUUACACUAAAGAGGGUUUUUAGUCUCUCUUACUACAAGAACCCUUGGUUUGGUCUUGAACAUAAUUUCCAGUUGAGUUGAAUUUCAAAGGUUAUGGAAUAAGCUAUUUUCACUUUAAAUUGACUUAAAUGGUGCAGAUCUCGGUUCCUUAUCGUUUACGUUCACUGCUCCUACGUCUUUGACUCAUCCUACUACAGUUUAUACUUUUAUAUAAUCUUUGUUGUGUUGUCUUUGUCUAUAGUUUCUCUUAAUGCUAGGGGGUUACGAAACAGUGUGAAGCGCAAGGCCUUAUUUUUAUUUGCUAAACCAUUUCAAACAGAUUUUUGCUUUUUUCAAGAGUCUCACUCAAUUUCUGCUGAUGUCAACUUCUGGAGGUCACAGUAGGGCAACGAUAUUUGGCUUUCCCAUGGAUCUGAACGCUCUGCUGGUGUCACUACAAUGAAAAAUAUCUUUGGUGGUAAUAUUCUACACUCGGAAUGUGACCCCUUUGGUCACUUUAUUUGUCUUGUGAUCAGUUACAAUGACAUUACACUCAUUACUGUAAACUUCUACGGGUACAACACCAAACAUGAGAAUGAUGAGUUGCUUGAAUCUAUAGAGAAACAUAUACUUCAUUGGUUAUCUAAAUUUCCCAAUUCGUUAUUAUUGAUAGGAGGGGACUUUAACAUUACAAUAAAUAAUUCAACUGAUAGAUGGCCCCCAGGUAGGCCAACCAAUCAGAAUUUGGGUUUAAUACUUUUUAUGGAAAAGUUUGAUCUUACUGAUAUAUGGAGAGAGAGGUUUCCGGCCGAAAGAUCAUUCACUUGGAGUAACAAAACAGGCUCCAGACAAUCCAGAAUAGAUUUUUGGCUUAUAUCCAAAUGUAUUGAUAGUGAGUGUGUUACUACAAAUAUUUGUACUACACCCCUCACAGACCAUAAGGCUAUUUACAUUGAUAUCAAAAUAUUUACCCCUGAUACAAACCUUGAUAGAGCAUCCUACUGGAAGCUAAAUAGCUCAUUAUUAAAUAAUGAUAUAGUUACAUUUGAGGUUAAAGAUCUGCUCUCACACUUUUGGGAAAGGGCUUGUGAAGAAAAAUCUUAUUGCAAGAACUGGGAGCUCUUUAAAUUUGAGGUGUCCAAAUAUUUUAGAAAAUAUGGUAGUAAUCUUGCUAAGACCAGAAGAGCUGAGGAGGAAAAGGUGAUCAUUAAGAUAACUUCCCUUUCGCAGAGGUCCCCAGCUGACCUCUUGGGGGAGGAGAAGAUGGAACUAAUUGAGUUACAAAAUAAACUGGAUAAUAUAUAUAAAUUAAAAGCAGAAGGAGCCUUUAUUAGAUCUAGGAAAAAUGGAUUGAGGAGGGAGAACAUAAUUCAUCCUAUUUCUUUAGACUUGAGAAAUUUCACUCUAAAAAUAACACUAUCCAUAAGUUAAACAUUGAUGGUGUUAUUACAGAUGACCAAAAAUUAAUCGCUAAAUACUGCAGCAAUUUUUACAGAAAAUUGUAUAGCUCUACGUACUGUCAGGAAUCCACAGAUAUGUUUUUUAACUCACUGAAUAAUGUUCACUCUAUCAGUGAUAUAGAAUCUAAACAGUGUGAUGAACCCAUCAAAAUUGAAGAUAUUAUAGAGUCUAUCAAACAUCUAAAGAACAAUAAAUCACCAGGUGUUGAUGGAAUUACAUCAGAAUUUUACAAAUUAUUUUCUGAACAAGUAGCUCCCUUCCUAUUUGAAGUCUUUUUAGAGAGUAUUAAAAACAAUGUUCUCCCUCCUACAAUGAGUCAGGGGUUAAUAACACUGAUACCUAAGCCUAAAAAGAAGUGCUGCUCAUCGAUAACUGGCGUCCAAUUUGUCUUCUUAAUAAUGACUAUAAGAUAUUAGCCUCACUACUUGCAAAAAUAAUUAAAGAAGUCCUGGAUGCAAUCAUUGAUGAAACACAGUCUGGCUUCAUGAGGAACAGACAUAUUUCUAACAAUGUCAGACUAGUAUUAGACGUACUUGACUACUCAGACCUAAUAACUGAGGAUAGCUUCAUAUUAUUUUUAGAUUUUUAUAAAGCAUUUGACACAGUAGAGCAUCAGUUUCUCUUCCAUUCCCUUGAGAGACUUGGUUUUGGGGAUUUUUUCUGUAAGGCUAUUAAGACUCUCUAUGCAAAUGGUAACAGCUCUAUCAAAUUGAAACAUGGCACCUCACCUAGAUUUGAGUUAAAGAGAGGAAUUAGGCAAGGUUGUCCUAUCUCUCCGUACCUGUUUUUAUUAAUCACCCAACUUCUUGCAAAUUCUUUAAAUAAUAGUCCUGUACAAGGUAUUUCCCGCUGGUAAAGAAAUUAUUAUAAGCCAGCUGGCUGACGAUACUACACUUUUUCUGAAAGACGCUAACCAAAUUCCCAUAUCGAUCAAUGUGAUACAAUCCUUUUCCAAAGCGUCUGGUCUAUAUCUUAACAUUAAGAAAUGUGAACUCAUGGCUAUCAAAGAUUGUGUGACACCUUCAUAUUAUGGUAUUCCAGUAAAAGAAGAACUUACAUAUUUAGGCAUAACCAUUACAAAGGAUCAGAAGUCUAGAGGCUUACUAAAUUUUAACCCUCUUAUUUAAAAAACCCAGAAGAAACUAAAUCAAUGGCUACAGAGGGACUUAUCUUUAAAAGGUAGAGUCCUAAUAACCAAGGCUGAAGGUAUCUCUAGACUAACAUAUGGUGCUCUAUCUUUAUAUCUUGACCGUAAAAUAAGCAAGGAGGUAGACCAGAUGCUUUUCAACUUUCUUUGGAGAAACCAUACCCAUUACAUUAGGAAAACUGUUGUAAUGAACACAUGAGAAUGGUGGACUGAAUUUUCUGGAUUUUACUACUUUAAAUAAUACUUUCAAGAUCAAUUGGAUAAAACAAUUCCUAAGAAGACCCACUUCUAUCUGGAAUUUUAUUCCUCAUCAUGUCUUCUCUACUUUUGGUGGCCUUAACUUCAUGUUGUUUUGCAAUUAUAAUAUUGACAAAGUUCCAGUGAAACUUUCUGCUUUUCAUCGGCAGGUUUUCUUGUCAUGGUCCUUAAUUUAUAAACACAAUUUUUCUCCACACAGAUAUUAUAUAUGGAAUAAUCGGGAUAUAUUGUAUAAAAAUACCUCUCUGUUUUUAGAAUAUUGGUUGAGAAAUAAUAUCCUAUUGGUGAGCCAACUGGUAAAUGCAGAGGGUCUUUUACUCAGUUAUAAAGAAUUCUUAUCACUUUACAAGGUCCCUGUAACACCUAAAGAUUUUGCAAUUGUUUUAGAUGCCAUUCCCUCAGGUGUUGCUAUGUUAUUCAGGAACAUGUCAAGACCUGACCCUCAGAGCCUACCUUCUAUUGACCCUGUUGACUCAUCAGUAGGAAAGAUUUGUUUCUCUUUUGGUCCAUUCAACAACAGAGCGAUACGAUCCUUGUUUCAGCAGGAUGUUGUAUCUAUACCUUAUGUCAUGCCUUAUUGGAAUGGAUUUAUUGAUAAUAUCUGUUGGAAAAAAGUUUGGAUGUUGCCACACACAUACCUACUUGUUAACAAAAUUAAGGAAGUUUCCUUUAAAAUUAUUCAUAAAUAUUAUCCUGCCAACCACUAUAUGAAGAAGUUUAAGGAAAACAUCAACUCAAAUUGCUCCUUUUGUAAUGACCACCCAGAAACAGUUGUGCAUCUUUUUUGGCAUUGUAUGCAUGUAAGAAAACUGUGGCAAGACAUCAGUAGGUUUAUAAUUGAACACAUUUAUGAAGAUUUUACACUAUUGUGGAGAGAUGUACUGUUUGGAUUCUUUACAUACAAUAGAAAUAAGCGGAAUCAUUUUUAUGUAAUUAAUUUCAUUAUUCUUUUGGCCAAAUUUCAUAUACACAAAUGUAAAUUUACAAACAGAAAACCACAUUUUCGUACCCUACAAAAAGAAAUUGAACUGUAUUUUAAGACGGUUAAAUGCUCUACUAACAAAAAAGCUGUUAGAAUUGUAAGUAUAUGCAUGUCCCUUAAGGUCCUUGUGUAAUUGUAAUGUGAUAUUGUACCCCCUAGCUCGAUUGUCUAUUGUUUGUAAUCUAUGUAUGCUUGUGUUCCCUCAUGUGCUUUAUGUAUUGAUUUGUUGUUAAUAAAAAAAAUAUUAAAAAAUAAA